rnacentral:rRNA from 1 species
AACGAACGCUGGCGGCAUGCCUAACACAUGCAAGUCGAACGAGACCUCCGGGUGUAGUGGCGCACGGGUGCGUAAGGCGUGGGAACAUGACCUUAGGUUCGGAAUAACUACCCGAAAGGGGUAAUAAUACCGGAUAGUGUCUUCGGACCAAAGAUUUAUCGCCUUUGGAUGGGCACGCGUUGGAUUCGCUAGUUGGUACGGUAAAAGCCUACUAAGGCCACGAUCAAUAGCUGGUUUGAGAGGAUGAUCAGCCACACUGGGACUAAGACACGGCCCAGACUCCUACGGGGGGCAGCAGUGGGGAAUAUUGGACAAGGGGCGAAAGCCUGAUCCAGCACUGCCGCGUGAGUGAUGAAGGCCUUAGGGUUGUAAAGCUCUUUUACCCGGGAUGAUAAUGACAGUACCGGGAGAAUAAGCUCCGGCUAACUCCGUG